rnacentral:misc_RNA from 1 species
AAAAAAAAGGAAAAAAUAAAAAACGUUUGAGUGAUCAUAGUGGCGUGAGAGAAUCAUGAGUUUCAUGAGAGAGCAUUUCUGCUUUCUUUUCAUGGGCAAUGAUAGCUUCUCGAACCAACGCAUUCAGCAUCCUUAUAUAUAAUACUAUGCACGCACUUUUAGAAUCGCCUGUCAAAUUUUCUCGCAUAUUCCGGCGACUUCAUCCCGGUUCAGGUCUCAAUAUAACUUGCACAAAUUGGCGGAGCCAAUGUAACGUUUUAGUUUCAUGGAUGGGUAGGUUGGGAAAAUGUCACUAAUAUGUGUCUGAAGCCAGAAGAAUUAUCAGAAGUGGUCCUGGAUUUUGAUAUGAAUGAAGGGAAGAGAAGUUAAUUUAACAAUACCAGAGGAACCCUAUUCAUGGAAGGAGAAAAAGAGGAAUAUUCAGAACUAUAGAUACCGAAAAUCAGGUGGCAAAGAAGCCCGCUGGUUAGAUCUAUUCACAAAGGAUUAUGCUUUAGUUCUGGAUUCUCAGAAAACUGCCAUGGAAAUAAAAUCUUACCAAGAUAAGGCAGAGCUGCUGCUCAAGGAAUAUUUGCUAGCUGAUUCUUUUAACCCAUGCACUUCUAUUAUUGUUGGCAUUUGUGCUUGCAAUAUGGUUUAUGAUCUUAGCCAGUUAUUCAGUCAGUCUUAUUUACUUCAAGAGCUAUUCCAACCUUACAAAAAUACAACGUAUCGAGUGGAAUAACCGGUAGUAAAUAUCAUCAACUAGUCCAACAUCCUGUUCCCUUUCUACUGGAAAUUCUUUUUCUUUUAUAUAAUUUUUUAAUUAUUGUUUAAUUAUUGAAUGCAGGGCUAUAUCCACCUUUCUUGCCAUUUUCAUCACAGUUAUAUCAUUGUAUUUUGUAUUCUGCUCUAAUAUCUAUUCUGACCAUCAUUCUGGUCUUAUCAUAUUUCGAAGUUCUUCACUGUCUACAUUUACAUUAGGGAUAAGAUGGUUUAAAUCUAUUUGUUCAUCUUCUUCUUUUUAUUUAUUUAUUUAUUAUUUAUCUUUGUUUCUUGGGUAAGGUCUGACUCAGGAUCUCUAUUCUUAGCAUUAUGAUUGAUCUUCUAUAGAGAUUACUAAGAGUGAGUUUCCUAUCAUGGAUACUGAACUUUUGGUUUGGUAACUAUAUUCUACUAUUUAGGUUGAGCUUUAUUUAGCUGAGGCAAACAAUAGUUCACCAAUUAAAGAUUUUUUUUGUAAUACGUUUUCUUAGAGAGUUCAAAAGUUAAGGAUAUUGUACUUUGUUAUGAUAGUUUUGUUUUUCUUAUAAUAUUUGGACAGUGUUUUCCUAUUCUUUAGUUAGCUUUGAUGCCCAUUAAAGCAGUAUUUUGUAGCUUGUGAGGCCCAAUGUGCAAAUGAUUAGUUAUGCAUUUGAUUGAUUGCCUGCAAGCUUGAUUGUUCUCUCUUUCAUUAUCACAUCUAAUUGGUUCUGCAUUAAACAGAAAAUAGAAAAAGUUUGAAACUUGGGGUGAAGUUUGCUUGUUGAUUGCUGUGGAUUUGCCCAUGCUUAAUAAAAGCCUAAUUGUAUGCAUUGUUGAAAAGCGAUAUAGAUUAGGAAAGGUGUUGCAAAAGCUGAGAAAAUACCAAGAAAUAUGAUGCUUAAUAUUGUUGGACAGAAACAUGAACCUAUGGUUAAACCAGAAUUGUACAUUGCAUUCCAAAUUUUUUUAGCUUUAACCUACCUUUUUUUU